rnacentral:misc_RNA from 1 species
UACGGAGGUGGCGAGCGUUACUCGGAAUUAUUGGGUGUAAAGGGCAAGUAGGCGGCCUGUUAAGUGAGGGGUGAAAUCUUCCGACUCAAUCGGAAAACUGCCUUUCAAACUAACAGGCUUGAGAUUGGAAGAGGGAAACGGAAUUAGCAGUGUAAGGGUGAAAUCUGUAGAUAUUGCUAAGAACACCAGCAGCGAAGGCGGUUUCCUGGUCCAAAUCUGACGCUGAAUUGCGAAAGCUAGGGGAGCGAACAGA